rnacentral:ncRNA from 1 species
GGACGUGCUAAUCUGCGAAAAGCUCAGGCAAGCCGAUAAGGGGCGCAAUAACCUGAGGUAUCCGAAUGGGGAAACCCGACAGCAAUGUCAUCUAUACCUUAAGGUAUAGAAGCGAACCAGGGGAAGUGAAACAUCUCAGUACCCUGAGGAAAAGAAAUCAACCGAGAUUUCCCAAGUAGCGGCGAGCGAACGGGAAAGAGCCCAAAAGUAUAAUAUGUUCAAGUAGAACUGCAUGGAAAGGCAGAGGGGACAGAGUGAUACUCUCGUAUACGUAAGAGCAUAAUAUAUGAGCGUGAGUAGGGCGGGACACGUGGUAUCCUGUCUGAAUAUGGGGGGACCAUCCUCCAAGGCUAAAUACUACCUGACGACCGAUAGUGAACCAGUACCGUGAGGGAAAGGCGAAAAGAACCCCAGUAAGGGGAGUGAAAAAGAAUCUGAAACCGUGUGCGUACAAGCAGUGGGAGCCCGAAAGGGUGACUGCGUACCUUUUGUAUAAUGGGUCAGCGAGUUAUCUGUAUUAGCGAGGUUAACUUUGAUGAGGGAGCCGUAGGGAAACCGAGUCUUAAUAGGGCGA